CGACAGCGGCGACGGCUGGCAUGACAGCGACUGCGGCGGACUACAUCACCCUCCAAGAGAAGGAGCUCGCUCGGCAGCAGCCUCCAUUGGCAGUUGUUCAUCCUCUCAUUGAUUGGAUCCAGUCUUCUGAGAAUUAGUAUUCAAUCUGCUGCAGAUCUUUUGAGAAACACAAAAGAGGAUCCGAUGUAAUACAAAAGGAGCAUGAUCCAUUUUAUUCCAGAGUAUUUCUUGUGGAUAAGUGGCGGAGGGCGGAGGCCACGGUACACAUGAUGUUCUUGGUCACCGACCAUCCUCUAGGUGUUGACCUGAAUAGCAUCGAUGGCCAAGGAUGCAGCGCAAAGAUGACAGCGGCCGAUGGUGGUCUGACCUCCUGUAAUCAAGCACAUGUCGUGACGCAAACUUGAACGUGUUCACAUAGCCACCACUGAUGCAUAUACAUGAAUGCUUUAUCAUGUACUGUAUGAAUGGAACGACUAUAGCAGGUUUCUUUGCACUUUUGCAAACAAGCCAUUUUUGUUACCAGUGAUCAAACAUGUGCAUACUUCCUAUUACGUGUAUACGUAUACUCUUUUUUGGUGAAUAAAUUCUUAUGCGAGCUUACCAUA